rnacentral:rRNA from 1 species
ACUGAACGCUGGCGGCAGGCUUAACACAUGCAAGUCGAGCGGAGAUGAGGUGCUUGCACCUUAUCUUAGCGGCGGACGGGUGAGUAAUGCUUAGGAAUCUGCCAUUUAGUGGGGGACAACAUUCCGAAAGGAAUGCUAACACCGCAUACGUCCUACGGGAGAAAGCAGGGGAUCUUCGGACCUUGCGCUAAAUGAUGAGCCUAAGUCGGAUUAGCUAGUGGGUGGGGUAAAGGCCUACCAAGGCGACGAUCUGUAGCGGGUCUGAGAGGAUGAUCCGCCACACUGGGACUGCGACACGGCCCAGACUCCUACGGGAGGCAGCAGUGGGGAAUAUUGGACAAUGGGCGGAAGCCUGAUCCAGCCAUGCCGCGUGUGUGAAGAAGGCCUUAUGGUUGUAAAGCACUUUAAGCGAGGAGGAGGCUACUGAGACUAAUACUCUUGGAUAGUGGACGUUACUCGCAGAAUAAGCACCGGCUAACUCUGUGCCAGCAGCCGCCGUAAGAC